rnacentral:sRNA from 1 species
AUUUUUGGUGGCCUAGAAACCCCGAAAAUUUGGAUUCCUAGGCCACCAACUU